GUGCUCACUUUGGCCACACAUAUACUAAAACUGGAACAGUAAAGAGAUUAGCAUGGCCCCUGCCCAAGGGUGAGACACAAAUUCAUGAAGUAUUCAAUAUUUUU
ensembl:snRNA U6 U6 spliceosomal RNA